rnacentral:misc_RNA from 1 species
AAAGAAGCGGUGCCUUCGGGCCCGACCUUCCAACCACUGCGUACGAAAUCUAGUUGCCUCGGCCGCCUGGCGGCCGAAGGAACCCAAAACGAACUUGUUUGAAUACUGUCCACACCUCGCGAAUGCGAAAAAUA